rnacentral:rRNA from 1 species
AGCCGGAGCUUCUUCUGCGGGUACUGUCAUUAUCAUCCCCGCUGAAAGAGUUUUACAACCCUAAGGCCUUCAUCACUCACGCGGCAUCGCUGGAUCAGGGUUCGCCCCCAUUGUCCAAAUUACUUCCCCC